ACAGCCCACUACUCACAGCUUGGCAUCAGUGCAGUUCCUCCAGUUCACAGCUGUACUGAAACGGAGCAGAGCUGGCAUAAACCUAGAACAAUGGGAGUCAAGCCAGGUCCUGUCAAUAAAAUGGUGGUUUUGUCUGCAAGACCCAAAGAGAGGAAGCUUGCUGAGGGUUUAAGGAGUACCCUUUACAAGGGUGUCACCAGUGAGCUGCCUGACCUCUCAGUCCUCCAAGUAGCAGAGGCAUAUAAGGACUACGCCAGUACUGUAGCUCCUCCAGUCACCACUAUCAGGAUGUCACAUGAGGAUUC